GACGAACGCUGGCGGCGUGCUUAACACAUGCAAGUCGAACGGAGCGAAUGAAAGCUUGCUUUUAUGAGCUUAGUGGCAAACGGGUGAGUAACACGUAGACAACCUGCCGACAGGAUGGGGACAACAUUCCGAAAGGAAUGCUAAUACCGAAUGAAGUCGAGGGAAGGCAUCUUCCUUCGAUGAAAGAUGGCCUCUGAACAUGCUAUCACCUGCCGAUGGGUCUGCGUCUGAUUAGCUGGUUGGUGAGGUAACGGCUCACCAAGGCGACGAUCAGUAGCCGGUCUGAGAGGAUGAACGGCCACAUUGGGACUGAGACACGGCCCAGACUCCUACGGGAGGCAGCAGUGGGGAAUCUUCCGCAAUGGGCGCAAGCCUGACGGAGCAACGCCGCGUGAGUGAAGAAGGUCUUCGGAUCGUAAAGCUCUGUUGACGGGGACGAACGUGCGAGAGGUGAAUAAUCUCUUGAAUGACGGACCU
rnacentral:rRNA from 1 species